GUGCUCGCUUCGGCAGCACACAUACUAAAAUUGGAACGAUACAGAGAAAAUUAGCAUGGCCCCUGCGCAAGGAUGGCACGCAAGUUCUUUACUCUCAUAUUGGU
ensembl:snRNA U6 U6 spliceosomal RNA